rnacentral:lncRNA from 1 species
CCGGCCGUCCCGCAACGCGCUUGCGGAAGAGGCGAGCCGGUUCGAGGUGUUCAAGGACAACCUCCGCUACAUCGACGCCCAUAACGCGGCGGCCGACCGCGGGGAGCACGCCUUCCGCCUCGGCCUCAACCGGUUCGCCGACCUGACCAACGAGGAGUACCGGGCCAAGUACCUAGGCGUCCGGGCCGCCGCGUCCCGCAGGAGGAGGGCCUCAUCGGAGGGCAGCAACCGGUACCGGCUGAGGGACGGCGAUGAUUUGCCUGAUUCAAUCGAUUGGAGGGAGAAGGGCGCUGUUGUCGGCGUUAAAGAUCAAGGCAGCUGCGGUGGGUGCUGAUAUUACCAUUUCUCCCUGCGUUGACUUCAAUUAGUUGCAAUUUCUGCUCUAUUUUUCUGUUUGGUUUCUGCUAAUAACACUUUAAAUCUGAUAUUAUUUUCAUUUAAUUACAUUUACAUGAAGAUAGAUCUUUUCCCCUUUUUUCCCCUCCUUGUGAAGUUAUGAUUUUUACCCUUUUCUUCUGUUUUGACUUUUGGUAAACGACAUGAUUUUGCUUACUAUGAUGUACCAAAGGUGUUGUAUUUUGGAUGAUCUGCGAAUAGAUCUGCUUUCAGAUUCUGUUUCAGCCCCCCUUCUUGUGUAAAUUUCGCUUACUCUACAAAAUUAUUAACUGCUAGUAUCACACUUAGUUCAUGAUUCAGGAUCUUAUCCUGUUAGAUCAAGUCACCAAUGAAUGAUUUUUUGGUUUCAAAGAUCUGAAUUGGCAUGCUGAUGAUAUCUAGAUCUGUUGGUGUCACAGGGAGCUGCUGGGCAUUUUCGACGAUUGCUGCUGUGGAAGGUAUCAACCAGAUCGUGACCGGCGACCUGAUCUCUCUGUCCGAGCAGGAAUUGGUGGACUGCGACACCUACUACAACCAGGGCUGCAACGGGGGGCUCAUGGAUUAUGCCUUUGAGUUCAUCAUCAACAAUGGUGGUAUCGACACCGAUGAGGACUACCCAUACAAGGCCCGAGAUGGAACUUGCGAUACUUACAGGGUGACCUAUUGAUUAGUCAUUUGAAACUAGCAACCCCCUUUUUUUCCUGUUGCUUUGUUGUUUGUGGGUGAUGUUCUAAUGAGGUUUGGUGCCCACCUUUGUCAUGUAGAAAAAUGCACAUGUUGUGGCAAUUGACGCAUAUGAGGAUGUUCCGGUUAACGAUGAGAAGUCUCUGCAAAAAGCAGUUGCUAACCAACCGGUUAGUGUUGCUAUUGAAGCUGGUGGCAGGACAUUCCAGCUUUAUGACACGGUAAAGUUGCCACAAGAUAAUGCAAUUUUAUAUUUCUACCAAUAUUCUUUGUUUAUAAAAUUAUGUCACGGCUUAAACUACAACUUGAUUUUCUUUGAACCGAUGUUCUAAUCCUUAUGGAAGCUUGCAGACUUUUAUACUUCCACAUUAUGGUGACCUAGGUUGAAAAUCUUUGAUCACUUCUAAUUGAAUAGAUUGUCAUUUGAUACAGCAACAACAAAUGUUUUAACAAUUUGGGACUGAUUAUAAAUAUCUUUUUUACUGAUUGAACUCCAUUCAACACAAUAUUUCUGGUUAAGUCAAGGACAUUCAAUUUUCCUUUAUUGUUUUUAGUAAAGAAAUUUUCAGUCUCUCUCUCUCUCUCCAAUUUUUUCUCGCACCACCAUUAAUCAACUCACCUCUUCUAACCAUACUAUCUACAGAUUUUUGUUGAAUAUUUUUAUAAUAUCUUAGAUGAUUUUUUCUUAUUUUAUAGUUUAUCGGAUUACAACCAAUUGUUCACAAAUAAAUAUCUGUUUAAUCUUUUCUUGUGGCUCUGCAUACCUAUCUUGCGUUUUCAUGUGAGCUAUACAAGCUUUUCAUAUAUAUUGAUUUUCAACUGUCCAAUACUUCAAUUCAUUAAGCCACAACAAUCUUUUAUACUCAAUCUCCCUCUCCAUCUUAACCAUCAAACUUAUGAAAAAUAUCUCCAUUAAUCCUUUUUACCAUGUUGAAUGAUAAAUUUAAAAAUAUUUAAAAUAAUUUUCAUGUAUGACCUUCUUAUCCAUCCAUCCUGACUUCAUCCUCACUUCUUCUCUUAAAUUAUCUAAAAUUAUAGUUCAUAUUCAAUCUUAGUAAAUUUUAAUCUAGAACCUUUAAUUUCUGAGAUUUGACUCGGUAAUUCAAGUUUAAAAUUUUAUUCCAGCUAAAAUUCCAUAUAUUAAAAUAAUAUCAUUAGCAAAUAGCAUAUAUGAUUAGUCAGUUUGCCUAUUAUAAGGACCAUAAUAUGUUUAUGUUGCAUCAGAAUUUAGAUUCCCUAAAUAUUUUUAUGAAUCUGUGGUUUUUUUCUCUAGACUGUUAUAAUUUCUAAUGUGUGGUUAAUUAAUAUGGAAGACACUGCAAAUAGACAAAUGCCACUAGAAAUAGAAAUUCUUAAUUAAACCCUUUCCAUGAUAAUACAAAUGCAUUAAGCGGCAUGGUUUGAGAAUUAUGAUCUAUUGUUUGUGAUAUGAAAUUUAGUUGGUUAGUAAUCUUCUUCUUGAAAUUCUGUGAAUGAUUUAGAUGAUACCAUCUGAGCAGUGGCACAGGUUCCAUUUGAUGAUGGAUUUGCUUUGUGAUAUGUGAUGUACAUAUAUCUCCAGUUUGCUGCCUAAUAUAUAUAUAUAUAUAUAUAUAUAUAUAUAUAUAUAUAUAUAUAUAUAUAUAUAUAUAUAUAAUGUCCACAAGUCUUUUUUUUUUCCAAGCUGCUACUUUCCUUCCUUCAAAUCUAUAGAUGUCUUUCAUGUUGAUGAGUUGAAAAAAUUAUUACUCCAAUUUUUUUUCAGGGAAUAUUCACCGGAUCUUGUGGGACUGCACUAGAUCAUGGUGUGACUGCCGUAGGCUAUGGCUCCAAGAAUGGCCAGGACUACUGGCUUGUGAAGAACUCAUGGGGUGAAGACUGGGGCGAGGCUGGAUACAUACGAAUGGAACGUAAUAUUGCAUCUGCCACUGGCAAGUGUGGUAUUGCAAUGGAGGCCUCAUACCCCAUUAAGAAGGGCCAGAACCCACCAAACCCUGGUCCAUCUCCACCUUCCCCUGUUAAGCCACCCACAGUCUGUGAUAACUACUACACCUGCCCAGAGAGUACCACAUG